rnacentral:lncRNA from 1 species
GGCUAGAAGAAAAUUUUUCCAAUUUCAUAAUUAUUUUACUAUGUAAUUAUAUGUAUAAAAAGCUAUGUAUACCAAAUAGUUAGUGACUCCGCAGUUGUAGAAUUUGCGUACAAUUAGUCGUGUAUUAACAUAGACGAUAUAAUUAUGUGAGCCCAUAUUAAAAAUGUGAUGUAUUGUUAAUUGGGCCCGAACUGUGGAAUGUUGUAGUUGAUAAAUUUGGGCCGA